CCUACGGGUGGCAGCAGUGAGGAAUAUUGGUCAAUGGGCGAGAGCCUGAACCAGCCAAGUCGCGUGAGGGAGUACUGCCCUAUGGGUUGUAAACCUCUUUUGUCGGGGAGCAAAAGCCGGACGUGUUCGGCUGUGAGAGUACCCGAAGAAAAAUCAUCGGCUAACUCCGUGCCAGCAGCCGCGGUAAUACGGAGGAUGCGAGCGUUAUCCGGAUUUAUUGGGUUACAAGGGUGCGCAGGCGGAUUUUUAAGUCAGCGGUAAAAUCGUGGGGCUCAACCCCAUCCAGCCGUUGAAACUGGGGAUCUAGAGUGUGCGAGAGGUAUGCGGAAUGCGUGGUGUAGCGGUGAAAUGCAUAGAUAUCACGCAGAACCCCGAUUGCGAAGGCAGCAUACCGGUGCACAACUGACGCUCAGGCACGAAAGCGUGGGUAUCGAACAGGAUUAGAUACCCCUGUAGUC
rnacentral:rRNA from 1 species